rnacentral:misc_RNA from 1 species
GAUGAAGAACGUAGCGAAAUGCGAUAGGUAAUGUGAAUUGCAGAAUUCAGUGAAUCAUCGAAUCUUUGAACGCACCUUGCGCCUUUUGGUAUUCCGAAAGGCACACCUGUUUGAGCGUCAUGAAUACCUCAAUCUCCAUCUUUUCUUCGGAUUGAUGGGUGACUUGGAUGUUGAGCCCUGCUGGUAUGCUAUAUCAGCUGGCUUUAAACUUAUUAGCCGGCUCUGUACUGGAUCGGUUUGACUCGACGUGAUAAUAUUAUCGUUGAGGAUGCAUGUCUCAUGCAGCCGGAAAGUAUCAAAGCAGCUUCUAGCUUGCCUUUAGUGCACUUUUACAUUUUAGACCUCAGAUCAGGUGGGACUACCCGCUGAACUUAAGCAUAUCAUAAGCGGAGGA